GACAAUUGGGUUUUUUUCUCUUUAUCAUUGAUGAAAAUGGACCUAUAUUGGGCUAGAUAUUGGGCCAUAAGCACCAAAUAAAGGGCAUCCACCAAUUUCAAUCAACAAUUUCUAGGGUUUCGAAUUUCUGCAAACUUGCUCGCUCUACGCCUCCGUAAGAAGAAGAAGAAUGGGUCACUCAAACAUCUGGAACGCGCAUCCAAAGCUGUACGGACCUGGUUCUCGUUCCUGUCGUGUGUGUGGUAACUCGCAUGGAUUGAUCAGAAAGUAUGGGCUCAUGUGCUGCAGACAAUGCUUCCACAACAAUGCUAAGGAAAUUGGGUUCAUUAAGUAUCGUUGAAUUAUAUAUGGUGGGAUCUUCAGAGGUCGCAAGAGAUCAAUAAAGGGUAUGAUUAUUAGGAAACUUUUGGAAAUGUUUUGGUAACUAUGGAGGAUCCGAGAAUGUAUGUUUUUAGUUUUAAAUUAAUGCUUGUGUAAACGACUAUUAUUUGCUUAUUGAUAUUAGUAUCAUCACUUUGGGGAAGUUGUUUUUAUCGUUUAUACAUCUUUUGACAUUCUGUUGCCGUGAUAUGCAUAGAACAUGUGUGAGGAACAUACAUUUUCUGACUGAAUUGAACACAUUACCAGCUAAACCAAGACGAUAAACCUACGUAUUUUGACAACCCAUUGAUCAUAUACUUUUUUUGGUUUUAAAACGCAUGCUUUAAGCUGUGCUCGUGACGUGAGUCGUACACAGUCAAGAAGGGGACUGCUUCAGAUGGCAUUAGGUGAUACACGCACACGUUGUAUAUUACAUCUUAUAUAUACAAAGAGAAGCUGGGGAAUGCUUGACACUCCCCCAUUGGUCCGGACAUCUGCCUAAUACUCGCUCAUUAGUCCUGACAAAUUACAGUUUAGUCUCGAGCUCAAAAUUACGGUUUUGCCAUCGUUUUAGUUUUUUUUUUCUAGCAAAACUAUGGUAGUGUUUUUUUAAUUGUUUGAGAAAUAUUCGGCCUAUCGCCCCGCAAUGUAGACGGGGCAUCAACUUUUUUUCAUACAAUAAUUGUUUGAGAGCAUGU